GACAAUGUUUGCAUUGCAUCUGAACACCCACACUUUUGACUACUAGGUUCUUGACUGUGAGACACCUUCAUGUAGUUGUCUAAUAUUCAAACUCUAAACCAACUAGGUUGAGAUUAUCAAAAACACUAACCUCACAUUAUAAUACCAUACAAUGGCUUCAGGGCUGAAAGUACUGAGCUCUGGCAAUUCUAUUCUGUGGCAGGUGAAGGAAUGCACGUCAGCCUUGCUGCGUUUUGUGAAGAGGCCUCAUUUGAGCGAGCAAAAAAAUGGGUGCUAGAACUGAAAUCACAAGGGCUGUAAGACAUCAUUUUGCUCUUUGUGCUGGCUUGCUGUAAGAAAAUGGAUCCUUAUUUACUGGCUAUCAUUUUCAUGGAUGCCCACAAUAGCAAAGACAAAUUUAAUCAUGCUUUGGGUUAUGCAUAUAUACUCACGCACCCCGGAAUACCUUCCGUCUUCGAUGACCACUUCUAUGAUUCGGGUGAUUCCAUUCAUGAUUAGAUUGUGAAACUGGUACAGUAGUAUGGCUAGCUAGUUCUUUUAUUAACUUGUGUCUAGUAGAAAUUCUU